GACGAACGCUGGCGGCGCGCCUAACACAUGCAAGUCGAACGGAGUCAAGAGGAGCUUGCUUUUCUUGACUUAGUGGCGAACGGGUGAGUAACGCGUGAGUAACCUGCCCUGGAGUGGGGGACAACAGUUGGAAACGACUGCUAAUACCGCAUAAGCCCACGGAUCCGCAUGGAUCUGCGGGAAAAGGAUUUAUUCGCUUCAGGAUGGACUCGCGUCCAAUUAGCUAGUUGGUGAGGUAACGGCCCACCAAGGCGACGAUUGGUAGCCGGACUGAGAGGUUGAACGGCCACAUUGGGACUGAGACACGGCCCAGACUCCUACGGGAGGCAGCAGUGGGGGAUAUUGCACAAUGGGGGAAACCCUGAUGCAGCGACGCCGCGUGGAGGAAGAAGGUUUUCGGAUUGUAAACUCCUGUCGUUAGGGACGAUAAUGACGGUACCUAACAAGAAAGCACCGGCUAACUACGU
rnacentral:rRNA from 1 species